rnacentral:lncRNA from 1 species
CCUGCAUGCAUCUGGGAGACAGUGAUCUGGGAGCUGAGGAUCUUCGUCUCUAAAAUGAGAAAUGUGCACUGGAUCAGAUUGUGCUGCUGUCAUUGCAUUCCUCACUGGGUAUCCAGAAGAUGGCGGAGAGGACAGCGUCCAAGUGUUUGGUUCACAAAGCCACUUCCCUUUAUCUGUUCCACAUAUUGUUAAUAUUGUUUUUAAAUCAUAGAACUAGAUAAUAUCAUAGGCUCCUAUGGCUAUAAAAUCCUAUGAUUUGAGCAUUGAUUAGAGUCCCUGGGAGUCGGGGUGCAAACUGGUCUGCAAUGAUAUUCUGAAGGCAGUCAUCCUUCAAAGCCUUCAGGGCUGCCCUCACUAAUUCCAGAUGGUGAGAACUUCCAUUUGGGCAUCCUGGGGCUUCUGGUGUCUCAUUUCAUCCUAGCUCUCCAAAAUUAUCUUUCCAAACUGCUCUCCAAUUUUAGCCAAACUAGACCAUCUCUAAUUUCCAAUUAACUAAUAUUUUCUGCUCCAAGAGGUCUCUAUUGAUGCUGAGUGCUUCUUUUGUCAAAAUCAUACCCAUCCUACAAGAUUCAUCUCAAAAACUCUAGAUUUAUU